UCCGGCCUACGGGGCGCAGCAGUAGGGAAUCUUCCACAAUGGGCGAAAGCCUGAUGGAGCAACGCCGCGUGGGUGAAGAAGGUCUUCGGAUCGUAAAACCCUGUUGUUAGAGAAGAAAGUGCGUGAGAGUAACUGUUCACGUUUCGACGGUAUCCAACCAGAAAGCCACGGCUAACUACGUGCCAGCAGCCGCGGUAAUACGUAGGUGGCAAGCGUUAUCCGGAUUUAUU
rnacentral:rRNA from 1 species